rnacentral:rRNA from 1 species
UACGAAGGGGGGCAAGCGUUGUUCGGAAUUACUGGGCGUAAAGGGCGCGCAGGCGGCCUUAGUAGUCAGGCGUGAAAGCCCCGGGCUUAACCUGGGAAUUGCGCUUGAUACUCUGAGGCUUGAGUUCGGGAGAGGUGAGUGGAAUUCCCAGUGUAGAGGUGAAAUUCGUAGAUAUUGGGAAGAACACCAGUGGCGAAGGCGGCUUACUGGUCCGGUUCUGACGCUGAGGCGCGAAAGCGUGGGGAGCAAACAGG